GACAAACCUGGUUUUCGUGCCUAAUAUCUAAUAUUUGAUCGUCCGUCUUAUUUAAAAAAAUUAUGAAAAAAAUUAAAAAGACAAGUCAUGCAUAAAAUAUUAAUCAUGUUUUAUUAUCUAGCAACAAUGAAAAUACGAAUUAUAAAAAAAAUUUAUAUAAAAUGGACAGUCAAAGUUGGACACGGAAACCCAAUGUUUACCUUUUU
rfam:Oryza sativa (indica cultivar-group) chromosome 2, whole genome shotgun sequence.